UACGUAGGCAGCAAGCGUUGUUCGGAGUUACUGGGCGUAAAGAGUGCGUAGGCGGUCCUGUAAGUUUGGUGUGAAAUCUCCCGGCUCAACUGGGAGGGUGCGCCGAAGACUGCAAGGCUUGAGUAUGGGAGAGGCAAGCGGAAUUCCUGGUGUAGCGGUGAAAUGCGCAGAUAUCGGGAAGAACACCCGUGGCUAAGGCGGCUCUCUAGUACGGUACUGACGCUGAGACGCGAAAGCGUGGGGAGCGAACAGG
rnacentral:rRNA from 1 species